GGUGGCUCAGUGGUAGAGUGCUUGCCUUGCAUGCAUGAGACCCUGGGUUCGAUUCCUUAGAACCA
rnacentral:tRNA from 1 species